rnacentral:lncRNA from 13 species
GAGGAGAGGAUACAGGAGGAGGUGGAAGCCAGGCAGGAGGAGGAGGGAGGGGUAGAACAAGAGGAGGGGGAGGUAGAGGAGGAGGUGGUAGAGGCAGCGGAAGAGAAUGUGGAGGAUGUAGAUGAGUUGGAGGAGCAGAUAAAGGAGGUGUUUCUCAAAGGAUUGCUGCCAGAUGAGUCAGGGGAAGAUGAGGGACUAAAAGAGGAGAGUAUGGAAGAGGCAGAGGAAUCUGAAAAAGGGUGGUCAAAUGUGGCAAGCACCUCCUCUGUGGUACGGAGAGUAGAUUUGAGGACCCAGAAUAGUGUGACUAUAGUGAAAGAGAUGAGGCAACAAGAAGGAGGGAUGGAGGAGGAGACGCUGGAACAGGUGGCGGUUUCAGACGAGGGAUUGAAAGAGGAUGAAGGAUGGUUAGAGGAGAGGAAGCAUCAGGCUUUGGUGGAAGGGUUGCCAGAGGGGCUUGAGGAAAGGAGAGGAGAGAUAAGAGUGGAAAGGAGGAGGAAGAAGGUGACUAUAGUUACACAGGAUGAGAGUCUUCCAGAUGAACUAGAGAAGAAAGCAUCUGAGAAGUUGUCAGAGGACCAGAUAGGAGGCCAUUUUUAUAAAGAGGGACAACUUAUGGUGAAAUUCAAUGAACUAUUUGCGGCAGAGAAGUUAGGGUUACCGAUAGUUACAAUUCAGCAGGAGUGGCUCCAAGAACAGGAAAAGGUCAGGGAGGAGAAACAGGAGGAGAGAGUGGAACAGGUGAAGAUUUCAGGCGAGGGAUUGAUAGAGGUGAAAGGAGGUCUAGAGGAUAGGAUGCGGCAGAUGUCGGAGGAAAGGUUGCGAGAGGGAGAGCAGACUGUGGUGAAAACCAAGAAAACAGUGAGAAUAGUGGAAGAAAUGAGGAGAACACAGAAGACACUCGAGGAAAAGUCAUCAGAGGACAUUUUAUCAGAGGAAAGGCUGGGAGAUGGUUUUUAUACAGAGGGGGAAGUUUUGGUGAAAUUCAGAAAGGAUGUGGAGAGGGUUCCACAUAGAGUCAGACAAAUGGAGAAGCCCCAAGAAGAAGAAGAAGAAGAAGAAGAGGUAGUGGAAGUGAAUAUGCAGCCAUCCCAGCCAGAAGACAAGGACGAUUGGGUUGUGCUGCUGGACAGCCUCCCACACAAGACUCUUUAUAAGCCUCCAGUCAUGCCAGCCGACUCCGCUCUGGUGCCUGUGGUCUCCACAAGAUUCUCUGUGGUGUUAGUAGACACGGUCGAGCAGAGAGCACCAGAGAGGGAAUGCAUUGAAGUGGAGGCCACACAGCAACAGCCUGAAAGGGGAUUGGUGGAAGGACGGAGAUUGUGGCAAAUGCAGGAAGAUGAUUGGUUUAUGCUCUUGGACCUGGUUGAUCGUGUUCCUUCAGGUGUACCAACCACACCAGUUUCAGCUUCUUUGCAAGAGCAAGUUCAGGUGUACGUAGAUGAAACCAUCUCUUCCAUGGUUAAAGUGAUGACAGCGGUGCAGAGAGAGGAGACCAGGGUGACUGUAGUGGAGGAGAUGGAGUUACAGGAAGACCAGAGCCGUCUGGAACAGAAACUGUCACAGAGAGAGAUGGAAGAUGGCUGGUUUGUUUUGCUGGACAUUGUUCCCAGAGAACCAUCUGUGAUUCCGUCAGCUUCUGUGGAAGAGCGUAUUCCGGUAUACCCUGAGGAAAGCGUCUCCUCUGUGGUUGAGUUGACGACAGUAGAGCAGAGAGAGGAGAGAAGGGUGACUGUAAUGGAAGAGGAGCGACGUCAAGAAGAAGUUAUACUUCCACCACAGCCAUCAAGAGAAAUGGACGAUGACUGGUUUGUGCAACUGGAUGUCGUGCCCAGAGAAACAUCCUAUAAACCACCAGUCGCUCCAGCAGAGCCAACACCGGUUUCUCCAGAUGUGAUCAGCCCUGUGGUUGAGGUAAAGGCUGAACAGCAGAAGCCAGUGGUGGUUCUGGUGGAGGAGAUGAGGCCACAACAGGAACGGGAAGUAGAGGAGUGGCAGCGACAACCAGAGAGAGAUGAUGAUUGGUUUACACUGUUUGCUGAUGUCCGUGAGGAGCCGAUCAUUGUACCACCAGUGGGGUUUGUUCUGUUGGAUGCAGUCCGUGAAGAACGUGCUGGGGUUCCACCAGGUACCUCAGACAUACAGUACUGCCAACAAGCUAACUAACCACCAGGUACCUCAGACAUACAGUACUGCCAACAAGCUAACUAACCAAACCUACGCGUUUUUCUUGUGUGAAUUAGGAACAUGAUAUCUCUUGGGUUAUGACUGGUCAAUCAUCAACAGGACCCUCAAAUAGUAGUUGUGGUAUAUCAAGCUCUCUGUGUGUCUUUUUGCUCCAGUUUCCCUGGCUGUUAGCGAUAGGGUAUACCCAGAGGUUGUGCCCGCCAAACAUCUGACCAUUGAGCCUGAACCAAGAGUGUUUGUGGUGGAAGCAGUCCGAUUACUUCCUGAAGACUUUGCCCUGGAGGGUAAGGCAACACAACCGCAGAGAGAGCAGGAUGAUGAUUGGUUUUUGCAGCUGGAUGUUGCCCCUAAAGUAGCAGGUACUUUGACCAUUCUAAGCUUGCUGUUGGCCACUCGAAAUACAAAUACCAACCCUUCUCUUGCAUCCAAAGGCUCUCAAUUGUUGUGUGAGCCUAUUGACUAUCCACAAAAGCUUUUGG